UGAGGAAUAUUGGUCAAUGGGCGAGAGCCUGAACCAGCCAAGUCGCGUGAGGGAAGACGGUCCUACGGAUUGUAAACUUCUUUUGUGGUGGAGCAAUAAGACCUACGUGUAGGUCGAUGAGAGUACAUCACGAAUAAGCAUCGGCUAACUCCGUGCCAGCAGCCGCGGUAAUACGGAGGAUGCAAGCGUUAUCCGGAAUUAUUGGGUUUAAAGGGUGCGUAGGCUGUUUUGCAAGUCAGGGGUGAAAGCCCGGAGCUCAACUCCGGAACUGCCUUUGAUACUGCGAGGCUGGAAUACGGAUGCCGUGGGAGGAAUGAGUAGUGUAGCGGUGAAAUGCAUAGAUAUUACUCAGAACACCGAUUGCGAAGGCAUCUCACGAAUCCGCAAUUGACGCUGAGGCACGAAAGUGUGGGGAUCAAACAGGAUUAGAUACCCUGGUAGU
rnacentral:rRNA from 1 species